GCUAAUGCGACUUUUGGUUGUUGUUGAUGGUGAGCCAAGAUGGACAGCGAGCGGGUGAUGUUUUGCCCGUUUUGUGGGGAACAUAUGAGCCGAUUGACGCGGUUUUGUUUUUCGUGUGGUCGGUCUUUAGAGUGUUUAAAUGGCGCAGAUCAGACUGACAGAGUAGAUAUGCUUCAGCAGUGUAUAAGAUAUUUCAAUGAAGGACACUCGUACGCUGUAAUCGUGGAUAUGAUGUCAUGUUUACACGGUUUUCAAAUCAGCUUGAGGUCUCUGAAAAGCACACUGAAUGAAGCUGGUUUAUAUCGCAGAAAGUAUUACUCCGCUACAAACGCCAUAAUGAGGGCCAUCCAACUGGAACUUCGUGGACCUGGACUGUUAUUUGGCUACCGCACGAUGUGCCAGGUGCUUAAACAAAAGCACAAUCUACGUGUAAAGAGGGAUCAUGUGAUGAAUUUGCUUCGGGAACUGAAUACUCGGGGACGUGAGAGGAGAUCACGCAGAAGGUUUGUCAGAAGAACUUACCACUCCAUGGGACCAAACUACAUGUGGCAUGCAGAUGGUUAUGACAAGCUUAAGCCAUUCGGGUUGGCUAUUUCAGGCUGUAUCGAUGGAUUUUCCCGUAAAGUAAUGUGGCUUGCAUGUGGACCGACAACUAAUGACCCAAGUGUGAUCGCUUACUAUUUUCUGUCAUGUGUGCGAAACCUUGGUGUCACUCCCAUGAGACUGAGGACUGACUGUGGCACUGAGAACGGGACCAUGGCCUGCAAUUCAGAGCACACUACGCCACUACCACAAUGACUACUUCUCUGGAGCAUCCAGCCACAUGUAUGGCUCAUCCACAAACAACCAGAGGAUUGAGUCCUGGUGGUCCAUCUUCAGAAAGGGAAGGUCUCAGUUCUGGAUGGACCUAUUUGCAGACCUUAGAGAUGCUGGAUACUUCAACGGGAGUCAUGAGCAUCAAUGUCUACUGAGAUAUUCUUUUGGUGAUAUUAUCCAGAAGGACUUGGAUGAGUGUGUGAGACUGUGGAACAGUCACAGGAUCCACCCCUCAAGAACAGCAUCAUGUCCAGGAGGUGUGCCCAAUGAGCUCUACUACUUACCAUACAGGUUUGGCUCCAGAGACUGAGGAUUUAAAGUUGAACGGGCUGAACUGGAUGCCUUUCCUGAGGCUCGCCUGUUAAGAGCUCCAUGUGGGGACACCAGCAUGCAGGAGUAUUUGGACUUGGCCAUGGAGAACAGUCA